CUUUCUUGGGUGCCAAUUGAAGUAAUCCAACAGCAACCACUAUAUCUGUGCCUGCCUUAAUCAGGGCUAGGGAUCUCUCAUUCGACUUUUGAAGCUUACUUCGAUAUUGCUCAUUCAUAUAUUUAUCAGUAUUCUUUAGUUCCUUUUCUAACUUUUUCAUUGAUGAUGAAAGCCUUCCAAGUUCUCCAAUCUCCACCAAGGCGGUACAAAUUGAGGAUCCCAUCCAACUAAAGAAAGAGAUUCUGCCAAUCAACUCCGUUUGUUCUUUGUUCUUGUAAAUGCCUGACCUUCCAAGCCAGACAAAUUGAUCCAGAAACAAAUAAGUUGAUAGUAAUGCAUUUUUAGACUUUCCCAACAAGAUGAGUGGAAGUGGGGUUCCUGGAGCAUUUGGGCUAAUAAGAGCAUGAAGAUCAUUGAUAAACUUGAAAAGACGGAACAAUUUCCUUGCUAAACUAGUGGAUUUAUCAACAUUUUGCGCAGUCCCGGGCUGUCCAUCACUCAGGAAUUUUGCACCAUAUUGUAUAGCCCUGCAUAUCUUGUCUCUUGCUUCUGCUUUGUUCAAAUACAACACUGCAAGUGCAAGCUCAGCGCGUGCGACAUCUAAGGUGCUCAUUUUAGAUACAGAUGAGGAGAACACUUGUAAGGAGAGUUGGUCAAUUUUGCAGAGCUCUUGGAAAAGGCAUAUAAGCAAGAAAAUAUAUGAAAAAACAAAUGAAGAAGGAGCAAAGUAUUGUAUGUGAA
rnacentral:misc_RNA from 1 species